GACGAACGCUGGCGGCGUGCUUAACACAUGCAAGUCGUACGGUAAGGCCCUUUCGGGGGUACACGAGUGGCGAACGGGUGAGUAACACGUGAGUAACCUGCCCACAACUUUGGGAUAACGCUAGGAAACUGGUGCUAAUACUGGAUAUGUGCUCCUGCUGCAUGGUGGGGGUUGGAAAGCUCCGGCGGUUGUGGAUGGAAUCGCGGCCUAUCAGCUUGUUGGUGGGGUAGUGGCCUACCAAGGCGGCGACGGGUAGCCGGCCUGAGAGGGUGACCGGCCACAUUGGGACUGAGAUACGGCCCAGACUCCUACGGGAGGCAGCAGUGGGGAAUAUUGCACAAUGGGCGCAAGCCUGAUGCAGCAACGCCGCGGGCGGGAUGACGGCCUUCGGGUUGUAAACCGCUUUCAGCAGGGACGAAGCUUUUUGUGACGGUACCUGCAGAAGAAGCACCGGCUAACUACGUG
rnacentral:rRNA from 1 species